UGCCUAGACACAUCUCUUUCUGAUACAACA
rnacentral:piRNA from 1 species